rnacentral:lncRNA from 1 species
GCUGCUGUGGUUUUGGUUGCAAUUGCAGGCAAUGGCGGUUUUGUUCAGGUUGCUAAUGCUCAGAACAUAUGCAACGUCUCUGUCACCGAUUUGAUGAAGUGUAGGCCGGCUGUGACUUCUCCGAAUCCGGCACCGCCUACUAAAGCCUGCUGCGCCGCGCUGUCGCACGCCAACCUGAGCUGCCUUUGCUCCUACAAGAACUCCAGUGUCUUGCCUUCUCUGGGAAUUGACCCUAACCUUGCCCUACAGCUUCCCGCCAAGUGCAAGCUUCCCCAUCCUGCCAAUUGCUAGACAGAGCGACGUACACAAUGGUCUAAUCAACAAACAUGAUUUAGUUACGAUUAAGAUAUGAUUAAUCGUGUAAUCAUGUACAACUUUGGAUAAUUAAUAUGCUUUCCUAUGUGUAAUGUAAGCAUGUUUAGUUGGAUGUGUGCGUUUGUCCAAUUUGCUAUCAUGUUAUGUAAUAUUAUUAAUAAUACAAAUCUCGUUUUUUUUUUUUUUUCCGGUAACAAGCCUCUUUGAAUACAAAUUUUAGGGACAGGACUUACCACAGGCCUCUUUCAAUACAAAUCUCGGCUUUCACAUAAGUGGUUACGUUCAAAUUAUUGAAUAUAUAAUUAAGAUUGCAGUCACAUAUUUCACAUAUAACUCUAGUUUUUUUAUAUGGUUUUCGAGAGAAGAAAUUUAUUAAGCUAAUAGGCUCCAGCAAGUGAGGAAUAUCUCCCAUCAAAAUUUCACAAGUAUUAUCUCUACUAAUUAAUGAAAUCCUUUUUGUCAACCAAAAGAAAGUGAAAAAAACAAUUAGUCUUCUAUCACAAAAAAAAAAAAAUUGAUGGGCAAUAAUGUAAUUUCACAGGUUCAAAUUUUAUUGUUUUUUAUUAAAACCUCACCUACAGGUGAUGUUAAAAUACCUCCAAUAUUAUUAUAAAAAAAACAACCAUAAACAAAAACCUUCCACUCCACCCAUGUUCUCUCUCUCUCCCUCUCUCCUUCUCAUUUUCUAAAAAAAAUGUGUUCAUACACACAAAGUGUGUAGGCAAAUGUUAGUAAUUAUUAAGAUGAUUAAGAUCUAAAGAUUCCUAAUCCUUCAACAGUGUGUGUGUGUGUGUGUGUGUGUGUGUGUGUGUGUGUGUGUGUGUGUGUAAUAACUGAACAACACUUUGGUUCCACAUUAAUUUGUAAAGAAAUUCCUUCACAAUUUUGUGAAGCCAAAAAAUUGUUCUUAAAAUGAUUCGUCGUCCAAAUGUGCUGAUGCAUCAACACAAUUUAAGAAAUUAAUUGGCAAUUUUAAGUCCCACGUUAAAUAUCCAAAGGUUAAAAUAUACUUUUGAGUUUUACUAUGAACUCUUGGAUAAUAUAAUAUAUACACGAAUGCAUUUUGAGUUGAGCAUAAUUCUUGUACAAAAUAAACAAAUGAACCUCUUAUACCAUAAGCUUUUAUGGAGAAGACGAGCAUCAUCUCCAAUAAUGUACAUACAAACGGGGGCCGUCAGACCGAUCUACUGGCGUCUACGGACGGUUCAACGCUCGAUGGAGAUACCUCUGCGCCGUAAUCCCAGAAUUGUUUCAGCUCGCGCCUUAUCAGUCCCAAAAUCACUACAACACCUGGUGACCAGAGAAGGAAUAAGAAGGCAAAGUAAAAUAUCUGCAAAUUUUAUCGGCCUAAAAUUGGAAAAACGCGUCUAGAAAACCAAACAGAAGAUGUAAGAUCAAUGCGCUGGAGAUUACCUAGUGUACAUGGAACGAGAUAGAGGAGUGCAGGCUGGCCGUUGCCAUUCAUGAGAUACAAACCCAGGUAAGUAAGACCGUGUCCUGGAAAAGGAAUAACGUUCCAUUUAAGACCGUGUCCUGGAAAAGGAAUAACGUUCCAUUAGUACCACAUGAGACAAUAUGGACAUGUUUAGUUCGAUCAUGCUGCAGUCUGCUAUUAAAAGGAAAUGAAAUAAAUACAGGAGCGUGAAAAUCACUACCGUAUCCAGAAUUCUAAUAACUAGGGCAAAUAAUACUAAUAACUACGGCAAGAACAAAAGAAGAAGAAAAGACAAGUAGGUUAGAAACUUAACAUAUGCAGACAAAAACAAGUGCGUUGAACUUAUCUGCAUCACAAGUAUAGAUCCCGUGACACCACAGCAUGGCCAACUUUUCGGUUCACGGGACCGCUGUCUGCAUGCAGUACUGCUCCUCCCAUUCCUUCCCACCACCACCACCACCACCAAUAAUAAUCCUUUGCUUCCAAGGUUAUAAAAAAACUAGGUGCUAGUUAGGCGGCAAACUGAGAUCUAAUGCCUAGGCGGUUAGGUGAGGCCUAGAAGGUGUCUGGGCGGACUAUGCGGAUUUAAGUAAAUUUAUUAUAUUUCGUAUAAAUAAAUAUUUGUUUAUACUUAAUAUUAUAUAUAUAUAUAUAUAUAUAUAAUUUCAUCACAAACUACAAAAUAGAAUGAUAUAUAUAUAUAUAUAUUAUGAAGUAUUGGAACACACUGAAAACAUGGGGAACAAACAUAUAAUGUGUGUUCAAUUAAGUAUUCAACAAGUCUCGCUUUCAAUUGAUUGAAAAAAAAAUGCAAAAUGAAAGUUAUCUAUUUUCUGUCUAAGUGAGUCGCAACCUAGACGAGUACUUAGACGGGCCUGGGAGGGCUAGGCAGGUGCCUAGGCGGUCUAGGCACCCCUUCUUAAUUUUGAAAUGCUUAGGCAUUAAUUGGGGUUGUGGCCAGCCGCCUAGCGCCGGGGAUUUUUAGAACAGUGUUUGCUUCUCAUUCCCCCUAUAAAACCCACCAACUUUGGAGCUCCAAAAACCACAACCUUAACGCACCAAACAAUUCCUAUAAGAAAAGAUAUGGAGGGUGCUCGUCAAAAGCUGGUCGUAGUUUUGGCUGCUGUGGUUUUGGUUGCAAUUGCAGGCAAUGGCGGUUUUGUUCAGGUUGCUAAUGCCCAGAACAUAUGCAACAUCUCUGUCACCGGUUUGAUGACUUGCAGGCCGGCUGUGACUUCUCCGAAUCCGGCACCGCCUACAAAAGCCUGCUGCGCGGCGCUGUCGCACGCCAACCUGAGCUGCCUUUGCUCCUACAAGAACUCCAGUGUCUUGCCUUCUCUGGGGAUUGACCCUAACCUUGCCCUACAGCUUCCCGCCAAGUGCAAGCUUCCCCAUCCUGCCAAUUGCUAGACAGAGCUACGUACAAAAUGGUGCAAUAAACAAACAUGAUUUAGUUACGAUUAAGAUAUGAUUAAUCGUGCAAUCAUGCACAACUUAGGAUAAUUAAUAUGCUUUCCUAUAUGUAAUGUAAGCAUCUUUAUAGUUUGGAUGUGUGCGUUUCUUUUGUCGUUCUAUUUCAAUUUGCUAUCAUGUUUUCGAUAUAAUGUAAUAUUAUUAAUAAUACAAAUCUCGGUUUUCUUUUUUUUUUCUUUUUUUCUUUUUCCGGUAACAAGCCUCUUUGAAUACAAAUUUUAGAAACGGAACUUACCACAAGCCUCUUUGAAUACAAAUCUCGGUUUUCACAUAAGUGGUUACGUUCAAAUUAUGGAAUAUAUAAUUAAGAUUGCAGUCACCUUUUUUCACAUAGAACUCUAGUUUUUUUGUAUGGUUUUCGAGAGAAAUGGAAUUUAUUAAGCUAAUAGGCUCCAGCAAGUGAGGAAUAUCCCCCAUCAAAAUUUCACGAGUAAUAUAACUAUUAAGGUGAUUAAGAUCUAAAGAUUCCUAAUCUUUCAACAAUAUAUAUAUAUAUAUGGGAUAAGAUCAAGGGACAAAUAUUUUUACAAAUACUUUUACACUCUUUUUAAGCCUUUUGAUUACAUGACAUCCAAUGGUUCUUAUUUAUUCAUUAAAUGACAUGGAUGCUUAUGUGGAUUUUAACUAAUAUUAAAGAUAAAAAAAAACAGAAAAAAAAAUAUAAAACUGGAAAAUUAAAACUAAAAUUAAAAAAGGAAGAAGCUCUAGUUGUACACAUUCCUCCUUCUCCCCCUUUGCUAAUGUGGUUUUGCAACUUCAUGUCCUGGAUUGAUACGAAAUUAUGAUGCCUUCUACAAGAAGCUCUAGUUGUGAUUUCUGCAGCUCUCGUUUCAAAUUUCCAACCAUCUUGCCGACCCCAACCUAUAGCAUGACCUGCAACAUGAAGUUGCAAAACCACAUCAGCAAAGGGGGAGACGGAGGACUACGUACAACUAGGGUUUCUUCCUUUUUUUAAUUUUAGUUUUCAUUUUCCAGAUUUUAUGUUUUUUUUAGUUUUAUUUUAUCUUUAAUAUUAGUUAAAAUCCACAUACGCAUCUAUGUCAUUUAAUGAAUAAAUAAGAACAAUUAGAUGUCAUGUGUUUGUACCAUACUUGACCAAUCCCGAAACUACUGAGCACCGGUCAACGUUAUACCGUCAAGGACCCAGAAGAGUUUCCCUCCAACCAGGUGGAGGCCAAUCACAGCGCGACACGUGUCGAUAUCAGAAGCCAAUCAUAGCGCGACACGUGUCAACAUCAGAAGUCAAGCACAACACGACACGUGUCAAUGUCAGAACAAAGCUAGAAACUCUCUUCUAUAAAAGGAGAUCAUUCUCCCACAAUAUUUCCUAAUGUCAUUUGUACUAAAUCAUUCACUAGUACUCACUAAAUGAGAGCUUGAAUCUAUGUACUUGUGUAAACCCUUCAUAAUUAAUGAGAACUCCUCUACUCCGUGGACGUAGCCAAUCUGGGUGAACCACGUAGAUCUUGUGUUUGCUUCCCUGUCUCUAUCCAUUUACAUACUUAUCCACACUAGUGACCGAAGCAAUCUAGCGAAGGUCACAAACUUGACACUUUCUGUUGUACUAAAGUUCUCACUGAUUUUGUGCAUCAACAUCAUGUAAUCAAAAAGCUUAAAAAGAAUGUAAAAGUAUUUGUAAAAAUAUUUGUCCUUUGAUCCUAUCCCUAUAUAUAUAUAUAUAUAUAUAUAUAUGGGAGCAAAGUUGCAUUUGAUCGAAUGAAAUUACCGGAACAUCCUCAAAAAAAAACAUAAAAGUUGGGUUAUGACAGUUUGAGAGGCUAAUUCUAAAAUAAUAAGAGAGAAAUUAAUUAAAAGGAAAACUAAUGAAAAGGGCUUGAAAACUUUGAGUUUUAAUGAUAAGGACAAAAUAAAGGGUAAAGUGAAUAGUACCAGGAUUGACUUUUUAGUGUAAAAAUGUGGUUUUUCGUUAAAGUGAACAGUACCGGGUGCUUUUCGUUAAAGUUCCCUUAAUUAAAACUGGAGACCGUUUAGUUGGUCAAACAUAAACAAAAAGAUAAAUGGCCUACCAACUCAAACCAUCUAUUCCAACCUCAAAUUUUAUAAUUCAUUGCAAAAUUGUUUUUUGCAUAGUGAAUUAUAAUAUGAACGGUUCCAAUAACUGAACAACACUUUGGUUCCGCAUUAAUUUGUAAAGAAAUUCCUUCACAAUUUUGUGAAGCCAAAAAAUUGUUCUUAAAAUGAUUCGUCGUCCAAAUGUGCUGAUGCAUCCACACAAUUUAAGAAAUUGAAUUGGCAAUUUUAAGACCACGUUAAAUAUCCAAAGGUUAAAAUAUACUUUUGAGUUUUACUAUGAACUCUUGGAUAACAUAAUAUAUACAUGAAUGCAUUUUGAGUUGAGCAUAAUUCUUGUACAAAAUAAACAAAUGAACCUCUUAUACCAUAAGCUUUUAUGGAGAAGACGAGCAUCAUCUCCAAUAAAGUACAUACAAACGGGGGCCGUCAGACCGAUCUACGUACUGGCGUCUACGGACGGUUCAACGCUCGAUGGAGAUACCUCUGCGUUGUAAUACCAGAGUUGUUUCAGCUCGUGCCUUAUCAGUCCCAAAAUCACUGUAACACCUAGUGACCAGAGAAGGAAUAGAAGGCAAAGUAAAACAUCUGCAAAUUUUACCGGCCUAAAAUUGGAAAAACGCGUCUAGAAAACCAAACAGAAGAUGUAAGAUCAAUGCGCUGGAGAUUACCUAGUGUACAUGGAACGAGAUAGAGGAGUGCAGGCUGGCCGUUGCCAUUCAUGAGAUACAAACCCAGGUAAGUAAGACCGAGUCCUGGAAAAGGAAUAACGUACCAUUAGUACCACAUGAAGACAAUAUGGACAUGUUUAGUUCGAUCAUGCUGCAGUCUGCUAUUAAAAGGAAAUGGAAUAAAUACAGGAGCGUGAAAAUCACUACCGUAUCCAGAAUUCUAAUAGCUAGGGCAAGUAAUACUAAUAACUAGGGCAAGAACAAAAGAAGAAGAAAAGACGAGUAGGUUAGAAACUUAAAAUAUGCAGACAAAAACAAGUGCGUUGAACUUAUCUGCAUCACAAGUAUAGAUCCCGUGAAACCACAGCAUGGCAACUUUUCGGUUCACGGGACCGCUGUCUGCAUGCAGUACUGCUCCUCCCAUUCCUUCCCACCACCACCACCAAUAAUAAUCCUUUGCUUCUCAUUCCCCCUAUAAAACUAAAGCAGCAGAGAACCGACUGGCUGCGUGCAUUCCCUCCACAACACCCCAACGCGUAAGUUAAUCAGGAUGGAUCGACAGGCUUUCCAAACCUACAGGUCUCUAUGGAGGGUGCUCGUCAAAAGCUGGUCGUAGUUUUGGCUGCUGUGGUUUUGGUUGUAAUUGCAGGCAAUGGCGGUUUUGUUCAGGUUGAUAAUGCUCAGAACAUAUGCAACGUCUCUGUCACCGAUUUGAUGACUUGCAGGGCGGCUGUGACUUCUCCGAAUCUGGCACCGCCUACAAAAGCCUGCUGCGCGGCGCUGUCGCACGCCAACCUGAGCUGCCUUUGCUCCUACAAGAACUCCAGUGUCUUGCCUUCUCUGGGGAUUGACCCUAACCUUGCCCUACAGCUUCCCGCCAAGUGCAAGCUUCCCCAUCCUGCCAAUUGCUAGACAGAGCGACGUACACAAUGGUCUAAUCAACAAACAUGAUUUAGUUACGAUUAAGAUAUGAUUAAUCGUGCAAUCAUGUACAACUUCGGAUAAUU